AACGAACGCUGGCGGCGCGCCUAAUACAUGCAAGUCGAGCGAGAAGACGUAGCAAUACGUUUGUAAAGCGGCGAACGGGUGAGGAAUACAUGGGUAACCUACCCUCGAGUGGGGAAUAACUAGCCGAAAGGUUAGCUAAUACCGCGUACGCUCCUUGGACUUCGGUUCAGGGAGGAAAGCGAUACCGUGGGUAUCGCGCUCUUGGAUGGGCUCAUGUCCUAUCAGCUUGUUGGUGAGGUAACGGCUCACCAAGGCUUCGACGGGUAGCUGGUCUGAGAGGACGAUCAGCCACACUGGCACUGCGACACGGGCCAGACUCCUACGGGAGGCAGCAGUAAGGAAUAUUGCGCAAUGGGCGAAAGCCUGACGCAGCGACGCCGCGGUGGGGGAGUGAAGGUC
rnacentral:rRNA from 1 species